GACGAACGCUGGCGGCGUGCUUAACACAUGCAAGUCGAACGGAAAGGCCCUGCUUUUGUGGGGUGCUCGAGUGGCGAACGGGUGAGUAACACGUGAGUAACCUGCCCUUGACUUUGGGAUAACUUCAGGAAACUGGGGCUAAUACCGGAUAGGAGCUCCUGCUGCAUGGUGGGGGUUGGAAAGUUUCGGCGGUUGGGGAUGGACUCGCGGCUUAUCAGCUUGUUGGUGGGGUAGUGGCUUACCAAGGCUUUGACGGGUAGCCGGCCUGAGAGGGUGACCGGCCACAUUGGGACUGAGAUACGGCCCAGACUCCUACGGGAGGCAGCAGUGGGGAAUAUUGCACAAUGGGCGGAAGCCUGAUGCAGCAACGCCGCGUGCGGGGUGACGGCCUUCGGGUUGUAAACCGCUUUCGCCUGUGACGAAGCGUGAGUGACGGUAAUGGGUAAAGAAGCACCGGCUAACUACGUGCCAGCAGCCGCGGUGAUACGUAGGGUGCGAGCGUUGUCCGGAUUUAUUGGGCGUAAAGGGCUCGUAGGUGGUUGAUCGCGUCGGAAGUGUAAUCUUGGGGCUUAACCCUGAGCGUGCUUUCGAUACGGGUUGACUUGAGGAAGGUAGGGGAGAAUGGAAUUCCUGGUGGAGCGGUGGAAUGCGCAGAUAUCAGGAGGAACACCAGUGGCGAAGGCGGUUCUCUGGGCCUUUCCUGACGCUGAGGAGCGAAAGCGUGGGGAGCGAACAGGCUUAGAUACCCUGGUAGUCCACGCUGUAAACGGUGGGUACUAGGUGUGGGGUCCAUUCCACGGGUUCCGUGCCGUAGCUAACGCUUUAAGUACCCCGCCUGGGGAGUACGGCCGCAAGGCUAAAACUCAAAGGAAUUGACGGGGCCCCGCACAAGCGGCGGAGCAUGCGGAUUAAUUCGAUGCAACGCGUAGAACCUUACCUGGGUUUGACAUGGAUCGGGAGUGCUCAGAGAUGGGUGUGCCUCUUUUGGGGUCGGUUCACAGGUGGUGCAUGGCUGUCGUCAGCUCGUGUCGUGAGAUGUUGGGUUAAGUCCCGCAACGAGCGCAACCCUUGUUCACUGUUGCCAGCACGUUAUGGUGGGGACUCAGUGGAGACCGCCGGGGUCAACUCGGAGGAAGGUGGGGAUGACGUCAAGUCAUCAUGCCCCUUAUGUCCAGGGCUUCACGCAUGCUACAAUGGCUGGUACAGAGAGUGGCGAGCCUGUGAGGGUGAGCGAAUCUCGGAAAGCCGGUCUCAGUUCGGAUUGGGGUCUGCAACUCGACCUCACGAAGUCGGAGUCGCUAGUAAUCGCAGAUCAGCAACGCUGCGGUGAAUACGUUCCCGGG
rnacentral:rRNA from 1 species